UGAUGAUGAUGAUGAUGAUAAGGAUUAUUAUUAAAAUUGUAAUAGUGGGUAGCAUUGCUGCCUCACACAGGUUUACUGUCUGUGUGGAGUUUCUCAUGUUAUCUUUGAAUACUCAUGGCUUUCAUCCAAGUUUCUAAAAACAUGCAGGUAGGUGGACUGUCUACUCUUAAUUGCCACUAGAUGAGAAUUUGUAUACCCUGUCAAUGAUGACCUGUGAUGGAUUGUUGUCCCAUUCAAGGUGUAUUUUUGCCUCACGCUUGGUGUUCCUGGGAACCCUCUCCACCUGACCCUGGAGCUGUUCAGAGUCUCAGAGGGUUAGAAAGCGCUGCAGGUGAGGGAGUGUUGCGCUUGGCGGAGCACUCAGUGAAGCACGGAGAAGAGGGACACAGAGGACCCAAACCUGGUGCUCAAGGGCUUAUAAUAACACGCUGUCUGUGUAAGAGAGUGUGUGUCAAGAAAAAAGACCAACUUGUUCAUCCAUUUGUAACUGCCAGAACACUGUGGAGCUGAGAGGAAGACAGAAACAGAGAAGGCAAAAUCCAAAACCAUCUCUUAAUUUCUGCUAUUGUCUUCAUUUAUUUUGUGCCUCCUUUUUUGAUUAUCUCUAUCAAAUGCCAGGUUUUUCUGAAAUUUUCUCACAAAAGUUACUAGCAGACAAAACUUCUUCACAUUCCCCAUCCUUUUUUUCUCUCACUGUGAAACACAAAGACACAAAAAGCAAGAGGAAGGCAGCGGCUCGUGGCUUGGUGGGAGGAUUUGCCAGUGAAAAUAUUUAGCGAUCAGGAAUGAAUCAAAAGAGAUAAUAAGUGUUUUGGAAUCUACGGAGUGCACAACCCCCUCUUGCUAUCACACACAUCCAUCGCGUGCCUUGACUUUAUCAGCUGCUUCCCUGCACAAUGAGGUGAGAGUGUGUAAUGUCUGGGCUGCAGUGCCCUCUUGUGAUGGAUGAAGUAAUUGACAGUUCAGGGUCAGAUUGACUUGUAUUAUUAAACCGAGUCAGAUGGGUUUUUGUCAUUCUUCCAUGCAUCAGAAAAAAA